UGGUCUUCCGAUCUAGAGGAAAAAUUUUGGUUGGGGUGACCUCGGAGAAAAAAAUAAUCCUCCGAAAGACCUAGACCUGGACUUUCAAGUCAAAGUUAAACUACGUCACCUUUGAUCCAGAAUUUCUGAUCAAUGGACCAAGUUACCCUAGGGAUAACAGCGCAAUCUCAUGAAAUAGUCCAUAUUGAUAAUGAGGUUUACGCCCUCGAUGUUGGAUCAGGACAUCCAAAUGGUGCAGCAGCUAUUAGAGGUUCGUUUGUUCAACGAUUAAGGUCCUACGUGAUCUGAGUUCAGACCGGAGAAAUCCAUGUCGGUUUCUAUCUAUUUACUAUUUUUCGUAGUACGAAAGGACCAGAGAAAUAAGGCCAACUUUUUCCAAAGCGCCUUAAUGCUUA